GACGAAACCUGGCGGCGUGCCUAAUACAUGCAAGUGGGACGCAAGGGAACACACUGUGCUUGCACACCGUGUUUUCUUGAGUCGCGAACGGGUGAGUAACGCGUAGGUAACCUGCCUAUUAGCGGGGGAUAACUAUUGGAAACGAUAGCUAAUACCGCAUAAUAUUAAUUAUUGCAUGAUAAUUGAUUGAAAGAUGCAAGCGCAUCACUAGUAGAUGGACCUGCGUUGUAUUAGCUAGUUGGUAAGGUAAGAGCUUACCAAGGCGACGAUACAUAGCCGACCUGAGAGGGUGAUCGGCCACACUGGGACUGAGACACGGCCCAGACUUCUACGGGAGGCAGCAGUAGGGAAUCUUCGGCAAUGGACGAAAGUCUGACCGAGCAACGCCGCGUGAGUGAAGAAGGUUUUCGGAUCGUAAAGCUCUGUUGUAAGUCAAGAACGUGUGUGAG
rnacentral:rRNA from 1 species